CAACCUCAACUCAUAUGGGACUACCCCCUGAAUUUAAGCAUAUUAAUUAGGGGAGGAAAAGAAACUAACAAGGAUUUUCUUAGUAGCGGCGAGCGAAAAGAAAUCAGUUCAGCACUAAGUCACUUUGUCUAUAUGGCAAAUGUGAGAUGCAGUGUACGGAACAUCAACAUUCUAGUAUGAGAAGUUAACGAUUUAAGUCCUUCUUAAAUGAGGCCAUUUACCCAUAGAGGGUGCCAGGCCCGUAUAACGUUAAUGAUUACUAGAUGGUGUUUCCAAAGAGUCGUGUUGCUUGAUAGUGCAGCACUAAGUGGGUGGUAAACUCCAUCUAAAACUAAAUAUAACCAUGAGACCGAUAGUAAACAAGUACCGUGAGGGAAAGUUGAAAAGAACUCUGAAUAGAGAGUUAAAUAGUACGUGAAACUGCUUAGAGGUUAAGCCCGAUGAACCUGAAUAUCCGUUAUGGAAAAUUCAUCAUUAGAAUUGUAAUAUUUUAAACAAUAUUAUAAUAAUAGUGUGCAUUUUUUCCAUAUAAGGACAUUGUAAUCUAUUAGCAUAAAUAUUUAUCAUAAAAUUAUGUCUGAUUGCUUAUUUGAAUUAUAUGCUUGGCAUUUUAACAUAAAAUGAAAGAUAUAAAUUUGAUAAAGUGCUGAUAGAUUUAUAUGAUUACAGUGCGUUAAUUUUUCGGAAUUAUAUAAUGGCAUAAUUAUCAUUGAUAUUUGUGUUUAUUAUAUGCAUUUGUAUGAUUAACAAUGCGAAAGAUUCAGGAUACCUUCGGGAA
rnacentral:ncRNA from 1 species